rnacentral:rRNA from 1 species
UACGAAGGGGGGCUAGCGUUGCUCGGAAUCACUGGGCGUAAAGCGCACGUAGGCGGCUUUUUAAGUCAGGGGUGAAAUCCUGGAGCUCAACUCCAGAACUGCCUUUGAUACUGAGAGCCUUGAGUCCGGGAGAGGUGAGUGGAACUGCGAGUGUAGAGGUGAAAUUCGUAGAUAUUCGCAAGAACACCAGUGGCGAAGGCGGCUCACUGGCCCGGUACUGACGCUGAGGUGCGAAAGCGUGGGGAGCAAACAGG